rnacentral:rRNA from 1 species
UACGUAGGUGGCAAGCGUUGUCCGGAAUUAUUGGGCGUAAGCGCGCGCAGGUGGUCCUUUAAGUCUGAUGUGAAAGCCCACGGCUCAACCGUGGAGGGUCAUUGGAAACUGGGGGACUUGAGUACAGAAGAGAAGAGUGGAAUUCCACGUGUAGCGGUGAAAUGCGUAGAGAUGUGGAGGAACACCAGUGGCGAAGGCGACUCUUUGGUCUGUAACUGACGCUGAGGCGCGAAAGCGUGGGGAGCAAACAGGG